rnacentral:lncRNA from 1 species
UAGCUCACAAUGGCAGGCACAAAGCUCGUAUCACUGGGGCUCAUUGUCCUCAUGAGCAUAGGAUUAGCCAAUGCUGUUAGGGUGGCUAGAUACUCUAGUGCUGAUGGGACUGGCAUAGGCCAGGGAGGGGGUGGUGGAUAUGUGAAUGGUGGGGGAUCAGGGUCUGGGUCUGGCACCGGAUCAGGUGAUAGUGGCCCUUAUGGUUCCCAUGCAAGUGCUGGAGGGGGCGGUGGAGGUGGUGGAACUAGCCAAUACGGUGGGUCUGGAUAUGGUUCAGGGUCAGGGUCAGGUUCAGGGUCUAGUACAUAUAGUCAAGGACGGUAUUCUGGCUAUGGAGAGUCUUCUAAUGCUGGUGGUGCCGGUGGGGGUGGGGGUGGAGGACAAGCCGGAGGUGCCUGGAAUUCCAAUGCUCAAGGAUCCGGUAGUGGCACCGGUUCUGGCUCUAGCUAUGCUAACAGGAAUUGGUAUGGAUCAAGUCAAGCAGGUGCACGUGCUAAUGGCAAUGGUGGUGGCACAGGAAAUAGUCAAAAUGGUGGCGGUGCCGGUGGUUCUGGUGCCGGAACUGGGUAUGGCAAUGCCUACCCAUAAAUUCCAUAUAAGCCAAUCUAAAGUUGGAGCCCAUCGUAGUCUUUCAUUGUUUGAAGUCAUAAAGUUGUUGGUUUUCUUUGUCCCUUUGUUGCACUUUUGUUAGCAGUAAAUUAAUAAAGGGUCCAACUGUUCUAGCAACAGUAGCAGUCUUGUAAGGUCCUUAUAUGAAGAUGUUGUAAUCAUGUCGGUUUGUGAAAGGAAAAAAACAACUUGUCCAUCAUGUGGCCACUCUAUCUAAAAAAAUUCAUAUGUUCCCUUUGCAGUGAUUAAGUUGAGAGGCCUACACCAUGCAUGUUCACAUGGUUAUUAAAGUAUAUACCACUGAAUUUCCUAGAGUUGUUUAUAUCACUUAAUUACGAUAAUAACUGCAAGUGGGUCAAUCCAGUCUAGAACAUAAUUUACAAGAACUGCCACAAACCCAUUUAUGUCAAUCCAGCCUAGAACAUAAUUAGCAUUAACCGCAUGAUAAUAUAAAUACCCUAAGUGCAUAUUUAGGUGAAGGCUUUAUGUUAAGCAUUUGUGUAGCCAAAAAGGAUCAAACAACAUAGCCUAGUUUGGUGGUCAAUAUUUUCUGCAUUUAUGCAUCGUGCUUCUUCGCUCUCGUGAAUGGCUAAUCAAGGAGACAGAUUCUUCAUGUCCAGUUCUAUUCAAUAUUCGUCUUCCAUCAGUGAUCAGUCCAUAUCAUCGUACUUUUAAAUGACACAUUACAGUUCACAUUACUAUUGAUUUCUAAUGCAUAAUUUAGAUCUCAUUUACUGUGUCGCUUAAGACUUAACGCCCUAUAACAGAUUUUGGUUGAGGAGGGCAACUGAGUAGAUGAGGCAGCUCAAUUGCGUCCCGUGCGUGGCUGCUCACUGGCUCGACAUUCUUGUCCCUCGAUUGCAUUCCUUGUAGGAGGAUCACAGAGAACCAAAUGGAAGAGAGGCCAUAUCUGCUAUCUUUAGGUUUGUACUCAUCUUGUUGUUCACGUAUGGAUCACGGAUGGAUGUACAGUUUGGGUCUUCUCUAUUAUCCGAAGAGCAGGAGUCGUCCCUUAGAUUUCUUUUGUUACCUUUGUCCAUAUGGCGCCAUGCAUAAUCUCAUGGAGAAGAGGCUUUGCUAUGGGGCCCUUGGUAGUGAAGUUCCUGUUUGACUCAUCACUUGACUUGAGCUACAGUCUUCACUAUUCACCCACUCUUGAAUUUUCAUCAUGUUCUUACAUAUGUACCUGAGAAAUGUUAGGUUUCAUUCUCUU